CUUUGACCUCAAAUCAGGUA
rnacentral:rRNA from 1 species